CAGAGAGAAGAGACGCUGGAGACUGUGGGAUUGUGUUCUACGCUGGGCUGCCCUGUAUUUUCAGCCUUCUCCUGAUCCAGCUGUUGAUCUUGCUCUGGAGAAAGUGCCCCGUCAGAGGGAGAGCUGUGCAAAGACAGAAGGAAAUACCUAUGAGGCAGAUCCCACAGACUGAAUAUGCGGCUCUGACGUACAAUAACAGAAACGCUCCCCUGUGACUGAUGUAGUCUCACAAAAGUGGUUUAUAUUUUUUAAAACAAGAGAUACAGAAAGAAAGAAUGAAAGAGAAAGCGAGAUAAAUAUGGAAAAUCUCAUGUUUGUAAUGUUCUAUAACGUGAUGUGCAUUUGCUUCAAAUACAAGCACUUCCAUAGUCAGUUCUCUGAACCCAUAGUCUGAGCAGACACCUCCAUUCUUGCAAAAAAAGCUGUGUGGGGUCAUUAGCAAUUUGCCUGCAGGUUUGUGGGGCAUUGAUUUUACAUCUCACGUCAAACAUGUCACUUCCUGCACCAUAGCCCCCGUCACUGAAUUCACUCACCGUAGGGCGCCUCCUUCUGACUGCUCAUGGGAUUAACUCCUUCCAGCUCCAGAGCACUGGAAAUUAUACUAAAACUAUGCACAAGUGACUGGAAGAGCAUCUCAACUGCAGCAGAACUGUCCUAAGCUACCAGACAUCGUGAAAGCUGAUGUCCUAUUGAAAAGGCUCCUUUCUCAAUUCCAAACCUUAAUACAAUGAUUAAUGCAAAAUUUUACCCAUGAAAGAGAAAAGAGGAAACUUGGCAAACAGCAUGAUUGUAACAAACAAUAUCCUGAAAGAUGAAAUCUAAAAGCUCACUUCUCGUACGCUGCUUAAGAGCAAAAGGUCCAACAUCCUGGUCAGUUUGGGUGACGAACGCCUCAUGUGGGGAUCUGCUGCGGCAUUUGAAUGAAAUAUGGAUCUAUUUUAAUGAUUCAGAAUAAUAAAUAACCACCAGGAGUCACACACUAUAGAAUGUGCAAGAGAUAGUUCAACACAAAACAUCUAGUGCAGAGACAGCAUGUACCAGGGCUGUCUGACAGGUUAGACAACAGCCCACAAGACUGGUUAAUGGUGCAAUUGUGUAGACAGCAUUGUACCUUCUGCCUAUUGCAAAUGAUUUUCCGAAGAGAUCAGCACCCACCACUGGGGCCAGAAUUCUAAAGAGCCCAGUUUCCUAAACAGGCUUGAAGCCCCUUCCCAUUGGCCGCCCCAAGCACAUGCUUUGUUCACUGGUGCCUGGAGCUGGCCCUGAUUGAGGGCAGCAGUUUACACUUCCUUGGUUACCAAAAGCUAGGAGAGAGACCGGAGAAAGCAAUCAGCCCAAACACUUUGCGAGCUGAACAAACAAAAGAAAAGUGGCAAAACAAGUGGGCUGAAACUGACCACAGCAGCAAGUGCAGCUUUCCAAGCAGCUAUUUUUAAACGAUUGGCCCUUUGCAGCAAACAUGUCCUGUAGCCUGUGGUUUUAUAAGAUCAGUUUCAAUUUGUUUGACCCUUCUGUGUCCUUGCUG